CAAUCAUGAAGUUUCUAGCGUUGAUCUUCUGUUUGUCUAUAAUGGUUCUAAACAUUGAACAAGUUGUCAUGGAUCCAGAGGCUGCCAUUGUUAGCCAUCUACGAGAAGUGAAAACAAGAUCAUCUCCCUUGACUAAGGAAACUCAACAAAAUGGGAGAUAUGCUCGAUGGAGACAUUCAAAAUGGGGAGUAUAAGUGUAAGCAGAAAGAAAAUCAUCUGUAAUGAUUAAACUUUGAUUUGGAG